GACGAACGCUGGCGGCGUGGAUUAGGCAUGCAAGUCGAACGAAGACUGUAGUAAUACUGUCUUAGUGGCGAACGGGUGAGUAACGCGUAGGUAACCUGCCCCAUACACAGGGAUAGCCUAGGGAAACCUGGAUUAAUACCUGAUGAAGCAACUGGUCGCAUGACCGGCUGCCAAAGAUUUAUCGGUAUGGGAUGGACCUGCGUCUGAUUAGUGAGUUGGUGGGGUAAUGGCCUACCAAAGCGACGAUCAGUAGCCGACCUGAGAGGGUGAUCGGCCACAUUGGAACUGAGACACGGUCCAAACUCCUGCGGGAGGCAGCAGUGGGGGAUAUUGCACAAUGGGCGGAAGCCUGAUGCAGCAACGCCGCGUGAGCGAAGAAGGUCUUCGGAUCGUAAAGCUCUGUCCUGGGGGAAGAAACAAAUGACGGUACCCCGGGAGGAAGCCCCGGCUAACUACGUG
rnacentral:rRNA from 1 species